ensembl:lncRNA
GUGCUUACCUGGUCCAGAUGAUCCACAGUCCCUUUGCAUUUGUUAUAAUCCAGGAUGAUGUGGGGCUUUCUCUUCCCAGAGUCCUGGACUUGUAGCUCACGGUGCCUGGUGCUCAAUAAGACAACCUUUUUUCUUUGCUUGGGGAUGUAGGAAACCACAGCCUUGCCCCCCCCGUAGCGACCUGGACGGGAGAGACGAUCAUCGAAUCUUACUGCCCGAUUAAUUUGCUCAAAUCUUUUUUUUGACAUGGUAGCAUGAAACAGAAGAGCCCUGUCUACGGUGUACAUUUUAGGACAUCGUCAGGUGUCAGGAAAAAAGUUGUCAGGUAUCAGUCUCACAUGAAAAAAUGUCAGGUCUCAGCCUCACACAAAAAAAUGUCAGGUCUCAGACUCACACGAAAAAAUGUCAGGUCUCAGAAUCACAUGAAAAAAUGUCAGGUCUCAGCCUCACACGAAAAAAUGUCAGGUCUCAGUCUCACACAAAAAAAAUGUCAGGUCUCAGACUCACACGAAAAAAUGUCAGGUCUCAGUCUCACACGAAAAAAUGUCAGGUCUCAGACUCACAUGAAAAAAUGUCAGGUCUCAGUCUCAGAUGGAGGCUGCCAUCUUGCAAAUUUGGAGUAGUGACUUGAGGUGGAGCGACUGUGUAACGCUUCCGCUCACACACCCGCUGGUGACCGCAAACACGCCCCCUACAC